rnacentral:rRNA from 1 species
CCUACGGGCGGCAGCAGUGGGGAAUAUUGGACAAUGGGGGGAACCCUGAUCCAGCCAUGCCGCGUGUGUGAAGAAGGCCCUCGGGUUGUAAAGCACUUUCAGUGAGGAAGAACGCCUGGUGGUUAAUACCCAUCAGGAAAGACAUCACUCACAGAAGAAGCACCGGCUAACUCCGUGCCAGCAGCCGCGGUAAUACGGAGGGUGCGAGCGUUAAUCGGAAUUACUGGGCGUAAAGCGCGCGUAGGUGGCUUGAUAAGCCGGUUGUGAAAGCCCCGGGCUCAACCUGGGAACGGCAUCCGGAACUGUCAAGCUAGAGUGCAGGAGAGGAAGGUAGAAUUCCCGGUGUAGCGGUGAAAUGCGUAGAGAUCGGGAGGAAUACCAGUGGCGAAGGCGGCCUUCUGGACUGACACUGACACUGAGGUGCGAAAGCGUGGGUAGCAAACAGGAUUGGAUACCCCAGUAGUC